rnacentral:rRNA from 1 species
GAUGAACGCUGGCGGCGUGCCUAAUACAUGCAAGUCGAGCGAAUGGAUUAAGAGCUUGCUCUUAUGAAGUUAGCGGCGGACGGGUGAGUAACACGUGGGUAACCUGCCCAUAAGACUAGGAUAACUCCGGGAAACCGGGGCUAAUACCGGAUAACAUUUUGAACCGCAUGGUUCGAAAUUGAAAGGCGGCUUCGGCUGACACUUAUGGAUGGACCCGCGUCGCAUUAGCUAGUUGGUGAGGUAACGGCUCACCAAGGCAACGAUGCGUAGCCGACCUGAGAGGGUGAUCGGCCACACUGGGACUGAGACACGGCCCAGACUCCUACGGGAGGCAGCAGUAGGGAAUCUUCCGCAAUGGACGAAAGUCUGACGGAGCAACGCCGCGUGUGUGAUGAAGGCUUUCGGGUCGUAAAACUCUGUUGUUAGGGAAGAACAAGUGCUAGUUGAAUAAGCUGGCACCUUGACGGUACCUAACCAGAAAGCCACGGCUAACUACGUGCCAGCCGCCGCGGUAA